rnacentral:rRNA from 1 species
UACGUAGGUGGCUAGCGUUGUCCGGAUUUACUGGGCGUAAAGAGCGCGCAGGCGGUCGUUCAAGUCGGGUGUGAAAGCCCCCGGCUCAACUGGGGAGGGUCACUCGAUACUGAUCGACUCGAAGGCAGAAGAGGGAAGCGGAAUUCCCGGUGUAGUGGCGAAAUGCGUAGAUAUCGGGAGGAACACCAGUGGCGAAGGCGACUACCUGGCCUGUUUCUUGACGCUGAGGCGCGAAAGCUAGGGGAGCAAACGGG